rnacentral:lncRNA from 1 species
CCUGCGUGGGCCACUCAGCUCCUGGGGUGCUCUCGUUUUCCUCCUCAUGCCUAUAAAGAAGGGAGGGGGUCUUCCUCUGUGUCCCUGCUUCCCUGUGCUCAGCAUGGUGGACUCGGACCCCACCUGCCUUCUGGAAGCCCUGGAUGCAUGAGUCUCUAGGACAGCCUUUGGAAAUGUUUCUGCCUUUACCUGGAAGAACCUCUCCUGGCCUUCUUCCUCAUCCCAAUUCACUCACUUGUCCCGAAGACUUCUCUGACUGGUGAGACUCGAGAGGGGAACAGGUCACUGUGGCUGACCUCAGCUCCCCACUCUGCAGCAAGCACACUAGGGUCAGGUGCGGGUCAGGACACCCUUCUCCUUCUGUCAGGCAGAGCACCCAGUGGUGAUCCAGCCAACAGUCUGACUCUUCCUGCUCUGCAGACCUCAUUCCUCCUCCAUGUGAGUCAGCUCAAGGGCUGGCCUGGGAUAGAGGCUGACAAGAAGCCCAGUUGGAGCCAUAAAUCCAAACUGAGCUCUCCAAUAUAAAGCCUGUCUGCAGAGAAAAGUGACUAUACAUCUGAAAAUAUCCAGAUUAAGGACUGACAGUGUCCGUGCAAGUAGAAAGGAAUUAUUUCCUGCAACCCCCAACCCACCAAGGUCCUUUGAAGAUACCACUGCUAUCAAAACAGCCUUGCUACGGAGGAGAGCGCUAGCUGGGACUUUCAGCUUUUCAGAAGCAUGAGAUAUUCCCCUAGUUGAGAACUAACAGCUGAAAACAACUACAGUGAAAGCACCAAAGAAGACCAAUUCCCAGACUAAGGGUUGAGAGCUCAAGACUCAUUCUAGGCUCUGCCCCAAACCCCAUUUUGGUCUCAGACAUGUCCUUCAGAUUCUUUCUGGGAGUGCAUUCCUGGUGAUUCUGCUUCCCAUAUGUGCUUCCAAUUGUCAUCUAGCAGGUACAAUGCCAUCAUAUCUGCAGAACAGAGGAACUAUUUACCCCUGGCAAUAUUUUUAUCCACAAAAAUGAGUGCUCUGAAGUUCAUUGUCUCAGUGGCCUAUAGCAGGAGAAGCUGAACCCUCUGUCCCCGAACCUGUUCCAUGCCUUGCCCAGCACACAUGGGACAGACAAUUCCAUUGGUAAGAACCGUCCCUUCUUCAUUUGCUCCUCCUGGAGGUUUUAGGCUGGGCUGGACCCACAAAUUGUGCUUGAGGGUAGCAGGCAGAUGUCCCUCAAAGGUUAGAAAGGAGUCGAUUGUAGUGUUGUUUCACAGCUCUUCUGUCCCUUCUGUGUGGUGACAUUGGCUCUCUUGUGGCCCUACAGUCUCCCUGUUGGUUAAUAUCCAAAAUUCCCAUAUUGAGGAGUUCCCCGCCUUGGUUCAGGUGAUAGCUGCCCCUUACACAAUGAUCUGACACAAAUUCAGCACCAACCCUCCCUUUAUCACGCCCCUUGGCAUGGGUAGGCCCCACGAUGGCACCUCUGGGGCUAUCGGCUGCUUGUAACACAAGCCCGAGGCCACCUGCCGAAGCCCUUUCCCUUCCUGUCUCAUCUCUGAGGCCAUAAGUGACCUCAUGACUUGAGACAAGGCCUUAGAUACAAUUGCUUUCCCAAAGUCCCAUGACAUUUCAACAAGCAUUGCAUGCUUGCAAUGGGCCACUCCUUCCCUGGCCUCUGUUAAAUGGCAGACCCUCCUUGCAGGGAGCAUUCAGUUGUCUGGCGAAUGCCUUUGCCUUCUGAGGCAGGUGCUCUUGAGCAGAACAGUCCAGUUGUCAGGAGCUGGUCCUGGGAGGUUGGGGCAAGGAGGCAAGGAUGACUCUCACGAUACAUGGCCACUUCUCUGGUCUGCAUUGAGCUGGUUCCAAGGAGCUCCAGGGAAAGGCUAUGUUCCUUACUCAAUACUUUCGUCAUAGAGCUAUCAGCAGAGAGGCUGUCCAGGGGAGGUUGCACAUCCCCCAUGGAGGCUGGGAGGAGUGCUGCUGUUUCCCCCGGCUGCUAUUGUGAGGUGCAUCCAUUACUUCCUGCAUAAAUCUGAAUUAAAGGAGUUUUCACUGGGUCUGUGCUCGGAGGUAAGUGGGCAGAAGAUGAACAGAUUAUUCAGGGUGUGAGAAGGCAGGCCAGGAGGCUGGGUAUCAGGGACCUUGAGUGGACAAAGAGGCAAGAAGAGAAACAGGCAGAUGAGCAGGCCAAGGUGACGUACCUUUGUUGGAAAUGCCAUUGGCUGCCAAUGGAAAAGGAGAGAAAUGAAAGCCACCCCAACCCUGCUUUAGAGCUCCACUUCUUUGGUUUGCAAAUGUAAAAAUUGCCCAAGAGGAACUUGUCUCUAAACUGGUGCUUGGUCCUGCUUGGUCCCCAGCCAUGAGGUAGGACCCAUGAAGCAUGAGGAUAAUAUUCUUUCUCAGCCCAGUUAAGUUCACCCUGGGGUAGCAGGGAGGUCAAGGACCACGGGGAGAGUUUCAUCCUGAUGAGCUCACCUGUGAGGCAGCUGACUGGGCAAGGGCUUUAGGGACUCUGGGAAGCAUAAUCCUGUAAUUGGGUUGAUAGUUCAAGGACACAGGUGCAUCUUUGCUCCUCAAAGGGUUGAGUUUGGUUGGAGAGAUGUGGCAAAUUGGAAAAUGAGAUUUAUGCUCUGUUAGUAAGAUUAGUCAUUGUUCACCUAGGCAGCAGGUCAUCAAAAACACAUACUCCAGGGUUGAAGGAGGGAGUCCAGACUCCUCAUCAUUGAUUAUCAAUUAAUAUUGACAGAACUCCCACUGUGGGGUGGGAGGCAGGUGUAACCAGGGCUUUCUCUAAAAUAACACUUUAGUGAGGAAGGGACAGAAGAGUUUGAAUACAUCUCAAAAUGAUCUAUAGCUAGUAAUAAUAAUGAAACUAAUAUUUUAAUCCUGCAAAGGAAAGAUAAAAUCUGCGUAUCACAUAAUAAUGAAGAAAUUGGGUCCACACAUAGGAAAAAUGAUGCAAAAAUAAAGAAAGCCAAAACUUAAAAGUGUGGUUGAUCAGCCUAACCCUGUGGCCAGGUUCCUGGACUGUUCUUUUUUCUCCUGAGAUGUUUGUGUUGUUUGCAUCACUGUGACAAUAGAAUAAGAAUGUGGCACCUUGAGGUGAACUCAAAGUUAUCUUCACUCUCUGCUCAGUAAGGGGAAAGGCAUCCACUGGGGAGUCAGAGGCUCAGUGGAGAAGCUGGGCAUUGCCUAGGGUUGAAUCCUGACACUGAGGCUCCGGACAAAUUGCUUGCCUCUAUGAGGCCUGACUUCCUGAUCCAUGACGCCUGCCUUGCAGGGUCUUCUGAAGAUGACCCAACAGGAAGCUGAGCCACAGCAGGGCUCAUCCCACGCUAGGUCCUUCUUCUCCCCCUCCCCCUGCAUUUUCUGUGUGUGAAGGAAGAAGACUCAUGUUCUGUAUGAUUUUAGCAAAAAUCUGGCAAGGAUUUCCCAAGACACACACAGAAUUGGAA